UACGUAGGAUGCAAGCGUUGUCCGGAAUUAUUGGGCGUAAAGAGCGCGCAGGCGGUCUAUCAAGUCAGAUGUGAAAUAUCCGGGCUUAACCCGGAGGGGUCAUUUGAAACUGGUAGACUAGAGUACAGCAGAGGAUAGCGGAAUUCCCGGUGUAGUGGUGAAAUGCGUAGAUAUCGGGAGGAACACCAGUGGCGAAGGCGGCUAUCUGGGCUGAAACUGACGCUGAGGUGCGAAAGCGUGGGGAGCAAACAGG
rnacentral:rRNA from 1 species